rnacentral:hammerhead_ribozyme from 1 species
GUCCAGCCGACGAGUCCCAAACAGGACGAAAUGAGUGAUGUCCUGGAU